UACGAAGGGUGCAAGCGUUAAUCGGAAUUACUGGGCGUAAAGCGUGCGCAGGCGGUUCGUCGUGUCUGAUGUGAAAGCCCCGGGCUCAACCUGGGAACUGCGUUUGGUACUGGCAAGCUAGAGUACGGCAGAGGGGGGUGGAAUUCCACGUGUAGCAGUGAAAUGCGUAGAGAUGUGGAGGAACACCGAUGGCGAAGGCAGCCCCCUGGGCCGAUACUGACGCUCAGGCACGAAAGCGUGGGGAGCAAACAGG
rnacentral:rRNA from 1 species